rnacentral:miRNA from 1 species
AUCUGGACUAUGUUCUUCAAUAU